rnacentral:rRNA from 1 species
UCCCUCAGUAAUGGCGAAUGAAGAGGGAAGGGCUCAUGCUUGAAAUCUCCGUUGCAUGCAACGGCGAAUUGUAGUCUGGCGAAGUGCUGUCCGGCCGGGUCGUCCCUGUCUAAGUCACCUGGAAAGGUGCGUCACAGAGGGUGACAACCCCGUACGUGACAACGGUCGCCCGGUCCACGACACGCUUUCCAAGAGUCGGGUUGUUUGGGAAUGCAGCCCAAAACGGGUGGUAAACUCCAUCUAAAGCUAAAUAUCGACACGAGACCGAUAGCGAACAAGUACCGUGAGGGAAAGGUGAAAAGCACUCUGAAAAGAGAGUUAAAAAGUGCGUGAAAUCGCUGGAAGGGAAGCGAAUGGAGUCGCCAAUUCACCUGGUCAGAUUCAGCCGCUCGCUUUCCACAACGCGCUCGCAUUUUCGCGAUCUUACCAGACGCAUCGUGUGCGACGUGGAAUGGGCGUGGCGCACUUCUGUCACGUGAACGUCAACGUCAGUUCACUGCGAGUCAAGCGGCCCCGAGGACGGUAGGUCCCGUUUUUGCGGGAUCGGUAAGCCUCUCGUGCCCGCGACUCCACGUGGACUGUGUCMUGUCGCAGCGCGGGCCUSCCUUUCGAGGRCAGGCUGCAGUCUCGUCGAUCGACCGCUCRUGGCGUUAAACGGACGGCGAUGCCUGUGCGUUACAAGCGCUGCCGGUCGMCUGGCGAGGGAAAUCGACACGACGCGCUGAGUACGUUGACCGCCAAGCGACUCCAUCCGACCCGUCUUGAAACACGGACCAAGGAGUCUAACAUGUGCGCGAGUCUCAGGGUGACCGAAACCCAUGGGCGUAAUGAAGGUGAAUGCGCUUUGUGCGCAGAGGUGAGAAGUUCGUUGCGGCUGCAUCACCGACCGACCUAUUCUACUYUUAGGAAGGUUUGAGUUAGAGCGCACCUGUUGGGACCCGAAAGAUGGUGAACUAUGCCUGAGUAGGGUGAAGCCAGCGA